rnacentral:rRNA from 1 species
AGUUUGAUCCUGGCUCAGGAUGAACGCUAGCUACAGGCUUAACACAUGCAAGUCGAGGGGCAGCAUCAUCAAAGCUUGCUUUGAUGGAUGGCGACCGGCGCACGGGUGAGUAACACGUAUCCAACCUGCCGACAACACUGGGAUAGCCUUUCGAAAGAAAGAUUAAUACCGGAUGGCAUAGUUUUCCCGCAUGGGAUAAUUAUUAAAGAAUUUCGGUUGUCGAUGGGGAUGCGUUCCAUUAGGCAGUUGGCGGGGUAACGGCCCACCAAACCAACGAUGGAUAGGGGUUCUGAGAGGAAGGUCCCCCACAUUGGAACUGAGACACGGUCCAAACUCCUACGGGAGGCAGCAGUGAGGAAUAUUGGUCAAUGGACGAGAGUCUGAACCAGCCAAGUAGCGUGAAGGAUGACUGCCCUAUGGGUUGUAAACUUCUUUUAUACGGGAAUAAAGUGAGCCACGUGUGGCUUUUUGUAUGUACCGUAUGAAUAAGGAUCGGCUAACUCCGUGCCAGCAGCCGCGGUAAUACGGAGGAUCCGAGCGUUAUCCGGAUUUAUUGGGUUUAAAGGGAGCGUAGGCGGGUUGUUAAGUCAGUUGUGAAAGUUUGCGGCUCAACCGUAAAAUUGCAGUUGAUACUGGCGACCUUGAGUGCAACAGAGGUAGGCGGAAUUCGUGGUGUAGCGGUGAAAUGCUUAGAUAUCACGAAGAACUCCGAUUGCGAAGGCAGCUUACUGGAUUGUAACUGACGCUGAUGCUCGAAAGUGUGGGUAUCAAACAGGAUUAGAUACCCUGGUAGUCCACACAGUAAACGAUGAAUACUCGCUGUUGGCGAUAUACAGUCAGCGGCCAAGCGAAAGCAUUAAGUAUUCCACCUGGGGAGUACGCCGGCAACGGUGAAACUCAAAGGAAUUGACGGGGGCCCGCACAAGCGGAGGAACAUGUGGUUUAAUUCGAUGAUACGCGAGGAACCUUACCCGGGCUUAAAUUGCAACUGACGGAACCGGAAACGGUUCUUUCUUCGGACAGUUGUGAAGGUGCUGCAUGGUUGUCGUCAGCUCGUGCCGUGAGGUGUCGGCUUAAGUGCCAUAACGAGCGCAACCCUUACGGGUAGUUACCAUCAGGUUAUGCUGGGGACUCUACCCGGACUGCCGUCGUAAGAUGUGAGGAAGGUGGA